GAGUAACACGUGGGCAACCUGCCCAAAAGAGGGGGAUAACACUUGGAAACAGGUGCUAAUACCGCAUAACCAUAGUUACCGCAUGGUAACUAUGUAAAAGGUGGCUAUGCUACCGCUUUUGGAUGGGCCCGCGACGCAAUAGCUAGUUGGUGGGGUUAAGGCUUACCAAGGCAAUGAUGCGUAGCCGAACUGAGAGGUUGAUCGGCCACAUUGGGACUGAGACACGGCCCAAACUCCUACGGGAGGCAGCAGUAGGGCAUCUUCCACAAUGGGCGAAAGCCUGAUGGAGCAACGCCGCGUGGGUGAAGAAGGUCUUCGGAUCGUAAAACCCUGUUGUUAGAGAAGAAAGUGCGUGAGAGUAACUGUUCACGUUUCGACGGUAUCUAACCAGAAAGCCACGGCUAACUACGCGCCAGCAGCCGCGGUAAUACGUAGGUGGCAAGCGUUAUCCGG
rnacentral:rRNA from 1 species